UUUGUCUGACAUAAUGAAUUGAAAAGUUUCUUAACAGUAACUACUAAAUGCUUUCUUUAUAUAAUUUACAAUAUUAUGGUUUUUAAUAAGAAUGUAACGUUAUUUAAAUAAAUGUAUAAAGAAAUAAGAGAGAAUACAUAUAAAGAUGUGUAUGCGUGGGAAAGCAUACGUACAUGAAUGUAUGUGUGAAGUAAUGGGCGCUAGAGUAUAAAGACACAAAUUUAUUGAAAAUAGGUAUAAAUGACGAAUUUGAUAAAAGACGAUCAAAAUUAAUAGGUUAGUCAGUAAUAAUCACAAGCAAAAUGUGAAAGUGCAAAAGUAUUCGAAGUAAAGUAUUGGUAUUGUUUGCUUAAAGUAAGACGGUUGAGUAAUCUCUAUGUAGUUCCAAGUGUAAACUUUUAAUUAAAAAUACUCUCAGUAUCGUUAAGGAUUAUUAUAUCAGCUUUCUACUAAUAUCAAUAAAAAUAUCCUAUAUAAAUACAUCAUCAUAUUAUUGAAGAUAAUAGAAAGAUUUCUACUAUUCUAUAAUAUCUAAUCUAUAUAAAUAGCGUUGUCAUUGUGACUUUGAUCAAUCGACAAAAAUCAUCGUAUAUUACGCAACGACAAAGAUACGAGAUGCGUUGCCGUAAACACUGAUAUAAACUAAAAUUGUCGAAUACAUAGUGAUAAAAAUGAUGACGAGGGAGAAAAGGGAGAAAGGUUAUGAGAAAAUGAAGACAGAAGAAACGACUAAUCUAAAUUCGAUAAGAAGUUAAGGUGGCAGUAUCAUUAUAAGAAGUUUUGCGAGAAAGUAUUUUUCUCAAGAGAUUUUCCUCUCUUCUUAAACUUUUUCAUUGUAGACUAAUCAGAUGCACUGGAGUCUGAAAAUAUGGCAAUGUAUUUCUUUUAAUUUCCUCGACGGGUGAUAUACUCUUAUUGAAAAGAAAAACAAAUAGAAUCAAGAAGUUUCGUUCUUCGCACAAUCAAUCUAAUUUUUGCAAGGGAAAUAUAUCAUUUUCUGCAAAAGAGAAUAUAUUAUUUUUUUAUGCUGUCUACAUUAUUUUAUUGAUUGUAUUCCGUCCAUUCAUCUGUCUAUCCGUUUCCCAUUUCGUCAAUGUAUUUUGUUCAAGCAUUAUUACUCUCGCUACAUCAUCGUACAGCGUUGUUAUGUUGGGAACAUAAUAAAAAGAGAUGUAUCAGAUGAAUCGAAGUAAAAAGAAAAAAAUCUUUUCGGUACAUUAGUCAUUUUCUUUUCGUAUUUCAAUGAUGAUACAAGAGUUGAGGUAUUGAAGAAGCAAGAGAGAGAGAGAGAGAGAGAGAGAGAGAGGCGCAAAAGGAAAAAAACAGAAAGGAAAUAAAUAAAUAGAAGCGAAAGGUCGGUAUGUAUCUAAGACGAAAAUGUUGACACUCGCGAUUCCAACAAAGGACAAAGACAAAAGAACAUUAUCGAGCAAAAGAGGAAGGUGAAAGACGACAACAAAUACAGCAACGAAGGAAUUUGAAUUCAUCUAGAACGAUCUAUGAUUUGAGACAUCGUACGUCAAGUACACACACAAGUGCGCGUAUUUAUGAGUCUGUUAACUUUUGAAACAAAUAGUGCUUGAAGCAUUAAAUUAAUUUUGCAAAUUUUCUAUUACUUCAUUUAUAUAAAUGUUUCUUCUAUAAUCAAUCGAUCUUUUUCUUUCUGAAUACACGAAAUACAUUUUUAGAAGUAUUGCAUUUAUACAUAUUGCCGUAUACGAUUUGAAUCACCUUUAUUUAUUUCAAUGAGUUACCUAUAUAUGGAAUGAUAGAAUAUGGAUAUACAAAGAUCAAGCUGUGGGAGAUUUGAAAUUUCACAUAUACCCUAUAAUAGAAGAAGCUUACACAAAAUUGGAAUGGUACUUUCCUUAUUUAACAAGAAAAAUUCGAGAACGAAAAAAAAGAGAAUUUAUCCUUUGGAAAAAUCAAGAAUCAUGGUUCAGGCGAACGAAGAAAGGAAUUAUCAUAUCUUUUAUCAAAUAUGCUCGGUGGCGAAACGUCUUGCACACUUACAUCUUGAAAACUCAAUCGAGUUUCAUUGCAUCAAUCCAAAAAAUAAUUCUAGAAUCAAAGGAGUUGAUGAUCUUUCAUGUUUCGAUGAUACAAUUAGUACUAUGAUGCAUGACUUUACAUUUAAACAGUAAAAUAAUAUGUUGGGAAUAUUAGCAACCAUAUUGCAUUCAAGAAGCAUAAAUAUAAAUACCUUUGAUAUACAAAACAAGGAUGAUGAUAAUACAGAAGCUACUUUUAUUUCUGUAAAUUUUCUAUAAGAAAUUUCAUGAAUUACUUGGUACGAACAUGAAUGCUAUGCGAAAAUGGCUUUGCUAUAGAAAGAUCAUAUCGAUGAGGGAAGACUUCUUAAAGCCAAUGAAUGCAAAACAAGCGAUAAGAAUUAGAAUUGCUUUGGCAAAACAUAUUUAUUCCAAGCUAUCCAAUUGGAUAGUAAUCUGUAUUAAUAAUUCACUACAAUUUCAAGACAAGGUUCAGUGUUUCAUCAGUGUGUUGGAUAUUUACGCAUUCGGAACAUUUGAAAUAAACUCUUUUAAAAUCUUGUAUAAGCUAUGCGAAUAAAAAGUUACAGCAACAAUUCAAUCAGUACAUCUUUAAACUUGGACAAGAAGAAUAUUUCAAGAAAGGGAUUGAAUGGACUUUUAUAAAUUUUUACAAUGAUAGAUUAAUAGAACCGUACAUCGAUUUAAUAGAAUUAAAAUUAGACAUAUUAUAUUUAUUGGAAGAAAAGUAUCGGAUAAAAAAGAUGAUUUGAUUCACAGAUAAUAUGUCAAUUAGUACUGUUGUGUAAGAUAAAUAUACGUAUAUACGUAUAUAUUUCAUUAAAAUAUUCAAGCAGGUUACUUCGUUAAUUUUAAAUAAAGUUUUUGAAUAUAUUUGUGAGCAACUGCAACUUUUAUCAUGAUCUUACUACGAUACAACGAAAAGAAAUUAAUUUUUUAAUCAAUGAUUUAUAUUUUAAUAUAACAAUGAAUAUUUGACAUAGAUGCCAAAAUGAAUGGAUACUUCAUGGGCCGAUAAACUCUCUGCAAAAUGUAAAAAAUCAAAACAUUUCAAAAAGCCACAAAAUACUUAUUUUCUUAAUACAUCACUUGGCUGAUUUGAUCCAACAGAAGGCAUUAGGUUUUCUUACGAAGAACAGAGAUACAAUGAUAGGGACACAAAUAGAUGUGUUAAGAGCUAGCGAGGUUUAAUAUGUUAUUUUUUAUACCUAUAUAGGUAUAAAAAAAUGAAAAGAGCGAUUUUAGAUUUUCAAAGAUAUGGUAAAGGAUUUUUGGCAAGGCAAAGGGCUGAAUGGAUUAGAUGCGAAAGAACUGCCAUUAAAAUUCAAAUGAAUAUUAGAGGCUGAUUUAAGAGUGUGCUAUCAAAGAAUUAGACGCACAAUUAUUAGUAUUUGGAAUUAUGAUAGAGGUAAAAUGACAAGAGAAAGAAAUUGUUGAAUGAAGGACAUUGAUAAAGAAAAAAUCACGCAAAAAAGAACAGGAAAACAAAGAAGUUAUCGAAGAAAAUGAAAAGUUAUAUUCGGGCAAGAUACAACCAAUAUUGCUUUCCCUUUCCAUGCAUUGUUUAUUUAAAUUCUUCGCUUUCGAUUUCCCUUUCCUAAUUCAUUAUUGGUUUCGCAGAUAGUUCGAAUAAAAUAAUCAAUUAGUCGAUGAAAAGCAUUCGUACUUAACAGUAGGAUAAUCGAGUCUUACCAGUAUCACUAACCAAUUUUAAUCAGAGGUAUCUAGAAAAGUGUAGUCGAGAUACAUCUUUCGUAUUCAAAUGAUCAAGACUUCCUCUGUUUUGCAAACAGUACUAACUGCACUGCUAACAUUCCUCAUUGCGAGGUAGCCAAUUCAACUAUCAACAUACACUUAACAAAACACGCAUUUUAACAUCACACAGCUGUAUCUCGUUUCUUCAAAAUACAUUAUAAGUUCGAUCCAAGAAGCAUUUUUUAUCGCGCAUCAACCUCACGAGUUCCAAGGGACUUUUCAAAGAAAUCGCGUUCUCCCAUUAAUUUGUGCGAAUAUAGCGAGCAAUAAUUUGAUGAAAACUUUCAACGAUUUCUGAGCUUUUUGUCACCGUCCAUAUUCAUCGCAAACAAUAAGUCUACAUUUUGACGAUUAGGAAGAAACAUAGUUGUCCCCUUACAGUGCAACAUAUAUGAGACCAUUAAAACUUACUUCCAACAGGUAUGAUAAAAUAAAGAAAGAGGAAACUUUUAGAGUAGAUAAUUUUAGAACUGAAAUAGAAAAUUCUCUAAGAGUAUUUGUACAGAUGUUUCUACAGAUGUUUCUUUUGUAAUAGUACAUAUAAAUACAGUUAAGCCCGUACAACAUGAUCGUUAAGUUCUUAAGAAAUGUCUUGCUAUGUGAAUUCGUGUUAUACGAAAUAGAAAACUAAUUAAAAAAACAGGAUUAAGUUCUGUUACCGUCUGUCAAGUUCAAAAGUAUAUUAUUCAAGAUAAAUAAUAUUAAUUCUUACAAUGUAAGAAAUAUAAAUUCGUCUUCGAAUACAAUGAAUAAUUAAGGGAUUAUAUAGUAUAUUAAGAUGCGUAAUUUAUCGUUUGUAAAUGGUAAUUGAAGAAAAAGUUUUUAAUAGUGAAGAGUAGAUUCUUGAGUACGUAGUUAGAUAGGAAGACGAAAUAUAUCCCUUGUGGGUUUUUAGAAAAUGUCUAUAGAAAACGUCUAUGAAAGAGAAAAGUGGAAAGGGAAAGGGGAAAGAUCUAUAAGAAGUGAUAAAGAGUAAGUGGGGAUAAGGUGAUCUUGCGGUUCUUGUAGUUAUGAUGUCUAGAUUUAACAAUCAUACAACGUAUACAGUAAUUACAAUAAUAACAAUAAUAAUUAUUAUAAUAAUGAUAAUAAUGAUAAUGAUUAAGAUUGGCUAGUGAUAUUGGUAGACUCGGUUAUCCUACUGUUGAGUACGAAUGCUUUUCAUCAACUGAUUGAUGAUUUUUUCCAACUAUCUGUGAAGUCAAUAAUUAAUUAGAAAAGGGAAAUCGAAAAGGAGGAGUUUAAAUAAACAAUGCAUGGAUAGAGAAAGCAAUAUUGGUCGUGAGUGUAUCAAUCCUGUCUCCUGCCUAUAUGGACUUGUGAGUAUUGUAUUGAAGGAUUUUGCAAUUUGAAGAUAAUUGAUAUUUUAAGGAUAGACGCCAGACGAACCCAUGGCUCAUUUUGUCCAGGAAUCUACUUUCACCGUUUAUUUAUUGUUCCGUUCGUUACAUUGAAAACUACUUACUUGAUUAAAAAUGCUCAAAUCUAGACAAAUGUGGGAAUAUGUUCUUUAUUCACAUGUUUUUUUUAACUAUUAUCAAAUGAAUUCCCAAAGACAGAUAUUCUCAAUAAUGAUAUAUGAGCCUUAGGAGAAAGUACUGUGAAUUAUUGAGUGUGUGUACGUGUGUAUCAACAACAUAUUUUUCUCUUCCGAAAUGAUUAACAGAGAUCUAUAUUCAUUUGAGCAUUUUGUGAUCUAUAGAAUAACAUAUAUAAAAUCUUUUGUUUAUGCAUUUGUAAUUUACGGUAUAUAUAUAUAAGAUAUUGUAAUAAUAAAAUAUUAA